GCAGACUAACCAACAAUUUGGGCCUCAUAUAUUAUUGGCAGAUGUAAUAAUAAUUCCUGUUGGCUUAUUUAAAAAAAAUAAAAAAUGAAUAGAUUUAAAUAUCCAGCCAUGUUAACACAUGAUGUCGUGGUUGGAACACAUCAGAGAGAAGACCAUCCCUGCAGGAGUUGGGUGAUAUCCGACUUAAAUUAGUGGAUGCAUUUUUACAGCAACCUUGACAUGACUGGAGAACUCAGUGGACCACAUGCACUUCAGGAGAAAAUCAAGGCAGACUGUUUUUCUCUCUCAAAGACUUUGAUGAACGGAAAUCGUAGUGGAUCACGCCCUCUAGAUUUGUUUUCUACCAAACUUCAGUUCCGGACUCAUCAUAUCUGCAUCUCAACUGGAGCAAAGUUUUCAACGUGUGAUCUAAUUUAUGACCGGGAUUUCUUCAGUCUACAGCCGCUCUCUGUCCAUGAGGGAUGGCGCAUGACAAGGGCUUCUGCAACAAACACAUGGAUUACAUUUACUACACUCUCCUCCAGACCAUCAAUAAGUCAAGACCCGUGGAAAUCCAACAAGGACAAAUAAUAUAAAGAUAAAAAUACCUCUCUACCACCCCCAAGAUGAAGCCAGACUGAUACUGUGCUUAUGUUCAUUAGCUCACUGUAAAAUAAGCUGUGGCGUGCCACAGGCAAGUGUGCUUGGGCUUCUGUUAUUCCUGCUGUACAUUACAGAUAUCAAGGAUGCUUUGCUCAAUGUCACCCGUGUCUUUAUGCAGAUGACUCUGCACUCCUGGUGUUUCACAUAAACCAAACCACUCUGGAGAGUAUACUGAGUGCAGGGCUCACUAACAUCAACAAGCUGUCUCCGCACCUCGGCAAAACAGAAGGAAUUCUGUUUGGGUCCAAAAUGAAACUAAGCGAGUCCUCAGACAUCAGGGUACAGCUAGCAGAACAGGUACUCGCAGCCAGAACAGCAGUUCAUUACUUAGGAUGUACACUAGAUGGCAACCUGGCAGGGGAGGAGUAUGGCUACUAAGGUACUAGGUAAAGUGUUAGUGUAAAGGACAUCACGCUGCUUUACACUGCUAGAGUAAGGGACAUCACGCUGCUUGCUUAGUGUCACGAGUGCCACUUCCUCCUGAUUCGGCUCACACCGAGGCUUGAACCCAGGACCUGAAGCGUCUUACCAGUCGGCGACACGGAAAAGCUAGCUAUUCGUUGGUGCAUGUGGGGAAUCUUCAGGCUGAGGAGUAUGUGCUACACCAGGACCAAAUUCUUGGCUAUGUAGUCUAAGCUGUUGGAAAAAGAUUCAAAGAAAGUGCUAGUGUGCUCAUCCAAUGUCCUUUUUUAUGCUAGCACCUCCUGGUUUGAAGGUUUAAUAAUCUACUAAAAAGCAAGCUCAGGAUAGCCCAGAACAAGUUUAAUCUGAGCCCACCUAGAGUACUCAUAUUGGUACCAGACAGUUUCAGGAGCUCAACUGGCUGCCCACUAAGUCAAGGGUCACACAGACCAGACUUAGUCGGGUUCAUAGGAUCAUUCAUGAAGCAGCUCCUAGGUAUUUUGUAAAUGUAAAUGUAAAUGUAAAUGUAAAAUGUAUUUUGUCUCACUUCCUUCCCCAUUUUAGAGACUCAAACAAACACAACAAUAGAGCUAACUAACGUGUUGUGUGUAGAAGCCUGGCAGGGAAAGGUUCUUUUUUAUAUUCAGGAGCCUCUGAGUGGAAUAGUCUGCCUCUGGUCUGUUAAAACUAUUCCUACUCUGAGAAGCUUAAAAAGGAAGGUGAAAUGCUGGUUAAUGGAUGUCCAAGUAGCCUUCUUUUGUCUAUAGUGUGUGUAUGUUGUUGUGCUCUCAUAUGACUAAGUAACUAUAUUGACUUGCCAUUUUAGCUUCUGUUUUUUUAUUUUGCCACAUGCCAUAUUUGACAAAUGCAUUCUUGAAAGAGGACCACAAUUGAAAUAGGUUGUAGACUUUCUUGUGUUUAUCUUCAACGAUUCUUAAUCAUGUGCAUCAAUUUGAACAUGUACUUUGUUUUUAAAUAUCCAAUAAAAAU